UACGUAGGCAGCAAGCGUUGUUCGGAGUUACUGGGCGUAAAGGGUGCGUAGGCGGCUCUAUAAGUAUGGUGUGAAAUCUCCCGGCUUAACUGGGAGGGUGCGCUAUAGACUGUGGGGCUAGAGUGCGGGAGAGGAAAGUGGAAUUCCUGGUGUAGCGGUGAAAUGCGUAGAUAUCAGGAGGAACACCGGUGGUGUAAACGGCUUUCUGGACCGUAACUGACGCUGAUGCACGAAAGCGUGGGGAGCGAACAGG
rnacentral:rRNA from 1 species